GACUCGAGAACAGGAAGAACUGGAAGAAGCUUUAGAAGUGGAACGACAGGAAAAUGAACAAAGAAGAUUAUUUAUACAAAAAGAAGAACAACUGCAGCAGAUUCUAAAAAGGAAGAAUAAGCAGGCUUUUUUAGAUGAGCUGGAGAGUUCUGAUCUCCCUGUUGCUCUGCUUUUGGCUCAGCAUAAAGAUAGAUCUACCCAAUUAGAAAUGCAACUUGAGAAACCCAAACCUGUAAAACCAGUGACGUUUUCCACAGGCAUCAAAAUGGGUCAACAUAUUUCACUGGCACCUAUUCACAAGCUUGAAGAAGCUCUGUAUGAAUACCAGCCACUGCAGAUAGAGACAUAUGGACCACAUGUUCCUGAGCUUGAGAUGCUAGGAAGACUUGGGUAUGUGUCCUAAAGAACUUUACAUUGAGGAGCUGAUAUGUGGGACUUAUUGCUGUUCUUAACUGACAUGUUAACAUUCUUAGAUUUUCAGUUUAUAGAACUUUACUGUUUUGUGAAAAAUGAACAGUACUCAAUACCAAAUUGUUUUAUUUAGUACAUUAAUUUUUCUGUGGACUUGUUAGGUCUCUUGAGAUUGAGCCUGGAAU
rnacentral:sRNA from 1 species